rnacentral:rRNA from 1 species
UGGGGAAUAUUGCACAAUGGGCGAAAGCCUGAUGCAGCAACGCCGCGUGAGUGAUGAAGGCCUUCGGGUUGUAAAGCUCUGUCUUCUGGGACGAUAAUGACGGUACCAGAGGAGGAAGCCACGGCUAACUACGUGCCAGCAGCCGCGGUAAUACGUAGGUGGCAAGCGUUGUCCGGAUUUACUGGGCGUAAAGGAUGCGUAGGCGGAUACUUAAGUCAGAUGUGAAAAUCCCGGGCUUAACUUGGGAACUGCAUUUGAAACUGGGUAGCUAGAGUGCGGGAGAGGAAAGUGGAAUUCCUAGUGUAGCGGUGAAAUGCGUAGAGAUUAGGAAGACCACCAGUGGCGAAGGCGACUUUCUGGACCGUAACUGACGCUGAGGCAUGAAAGCGUGGGGAGCAAACA